rnacentral:rRNA from 1 species
AAGUCGAACGAACUCUGGUAUUGAUUGGUGCUUGCAUCAUGAUUUACAUUUGAGUGAGUGGCGAACUGGUGAGUAACACGUGGGAAACCUGCCCAGAAGCGGGGGAUAACACCUGGAAACAGAUGCUAAUACCGCAUAACAACUUGGACCGCAUGGUCCGAGCUUGAAAGAUGGCUUCGGCUAUCACUUUUGGAUGGUCCCGCGGCGUAUUAGCUAGAUGGUGGGGUAACGGCUCACCAUGGCAAUGAUACGUAGCCGACCUGAGAGGGUAAUCGGCCACAUUGGGACUGAGACACGGCCCAAACUCCUACGGGAGGCAGCAGUAGGGAAUCUUCCACAAUGGACGAAAGUCUGAUGGAGCAACGCCGCGUGAGUGAAGAAGGGUUUCGGCUCGUAAAACUCUGUUGUUAAAGAAGAACAUAUCUGAGAGUAACUGUUCAGGUAUUGACGGUAUUUAACCAGAAAGCCACGGCUAACUACGUGCCAGCAGCCGCGGUAAUACGUAGGUGGCAAGCGUUGUCCGGAUUUAUUGGGCGUAAAGCGAGCGCAGGCGGUUUUUUAAGUCUGAUGUGAAAGCCUUCGGCUCAACCGAAGAAGUGCAUCGGAAACUGGGAAACUUGAGUGCAGAAGAGGACAGUGGAACUCCAUGUGUAGCGGUGAAAUGCGUAGAUAUAUGGAAGAACACCAGUGGCGAAGGCGGCUGUCUGGUCUGUAACUGACGCUGAGGCUCGAAAGUAUGGGUAGCAAACAGGAUUAGAUACCCUGGUAGUCCAUACCGUAAACGAUGAAUGCUAAGUGUUGGAGGGUUUCCGCCCUUCAGUGCUGCAGCUAACGCAUUAAGCAUUCCGCCUGGGGAGUACGGCCGCAAGGCUGAAACUCAAAGGAAUUGACGGGGGCCCGCACAAGCGGUGGAGCAUGUGGUUUAAUUCGAAGCUACGCGAAGAACCUUACCAGGUCUUGACAUACUAUGCAAAUCUAAGAGAUUAGACGUUCCCUUCGGGGACAUGGAUACAGGUGGUGCAUGGUUGUCGUCAGCUCGUGUCGUGAGAUGUUGGGUUAAGUCCCGCAACGAGCGCAACCCUUAUUAUCAGUUGCCAGCAUUAAGUUGGGCACUCUGGUGAGACUGCCGGUGACAAACCGGAGGAAGGUGGGGAUGACGUCAAAUCAUCAUGCCCCUUAUGACCUGGGCUACACACGUGCUACAAUGGAUGGUACAACGAGUUGCGAACUCGCGAGAGUAAGCUAAUCUCUUAAAGCCAUUCUCAGUUCGGAUUGUAGGCUGCAACUCGCCUACAUGAAGUCGGAAUCGCUAGUAAUCGCGGAUCAGCAUGCCGCGGUGAAUACGUUCCCGGGCCUUGUACACACCGCCCGUCACACCAUGAGAGUUUGUAACACCCAAAGUCGGUGGGGUAACCUUUUAGGAACCAGCCGC